UACGUAGGUGGCAAGCGAUACUCGGAAUCACUAGGCGUAAAGCGCAGGUAGGCGGUUGGGUAAGUCUUUUGUGAAAGCUCCUGGCUUAACUGGGAGAGGUCAAGGGAAACUACCCGGCUAGAGUGUGGCAGAGGAAACUGGAAUUCCCGGUGUAGCGGUGAAAUGCGUAGAUAUCGGGAGGAAUACCUAUGGCGAAAGCAGGUUUCUGGGCCAUCACUGACGCUGAUCUGCGAAAGCUAGGGGAGCAAACAGG
rnacentral:rRNA from 1 species